CCUGACCUCGUGAUCCACCCACCUUGGCCUCCCAAUCAAAAUAUUUUUGUGAUGCUCCAGCAGUAGAGCUUCACUAAUAUGAACCAUAUCUACUUCGGCAAUUUCUAACAUUCAGUGCAACCUAACAUUUGUUGUGAGCUCACAAUACGUUGGAUACUAAGCCGACUUUGCAAGGGAUUGAAAGAUAAACAAGACAUGGAAGUUCACAGACUGGUAGAGAAGACAUCAUGCCAGCAACAAUGUGACAAAUGCUAUCACUGAGAUAUGUACAAGGUUUGUAUGGGAACCUAGAGGAGGGACAGAGAAGAUUUUCUUGGGGACCUAGAGGAGGGAACUUAUAGACUAGGUCUACAGGAGUUAUAGAAGAUUUAAGAAAAAAGGAAAAGUUCAAGAAUGAGAAACACUACCAAAAAUUCAGUAUUAGUGUUACAAUAACUCUGGCAGAGAAAACGUGAAGUCCUCUGAUGAGCCAAUGGCGAGAAGGAAGGUUCCUACUCUAACGGCGGUGAGAAGAUGUCCUUGCUCUAAAAGAGUUUCUGAUGAAAGGGAUAUUUCAUAGCAAAAGAGAGAGGAGGUGGAGUUCAAGAGCCAUUAGAAGUGACUUCGUAAAAGAUCUGUAAUUCUGUCAAGAAGAGAUCCAGUUCUCUUCAAGCUGGUUCCCAAUGGAACAGUUGGUGUAGCAAUGGCAAAUGCUUCUGUGGUCAUCCUUGGGGAAACUACCCACUUCUAACCAAAUUGGAAAAUGAAUAAAUGGAAAGUGAAGAUGUACAGUGAAGUUCAGCUUAUCACUACUGAGACAGACAGAAUUAAAAAGGGAAAGGUAGACUGAGAAUUAGGAAGAGAGAGAUGCAAAAAUUGAACAAAAGUUUGAGAAACAGAGCAGAGGUUCAAAUGGAAAUAGAGAUUCCAGAUCUCUCCCAUUUCUUCAGGAAUAAAUACUGCCCUGUAACCACUGGACAUUAAAUAUUUACCUACCAUAUGAAUUUGCUCUUAAGGUGCUACUCAUAUCCUACCUAUCUUUCAAUUUAGCAAGAAUGGGUAAUUCCGUUUUUUUUU
rnacentral:lncRNA from 1 species